UAGCAAAAUACCCUUUGCCAUAACUUCCAAACAGUAAGUUCAUUGCAUCCGUCAAGGUAACUUCAUCUCAAACAGCUAAUCUUAUGUUUAACAGUAAGGAACGGAAUACCGGACACUAUAAAUAACAGUUUGUGUAAUUCAUGUCAAGCAGUGACACUAUAUUUUACUAUCCAUGCAUUGUUGAAUUAUAUUGGAGAUGCAAAUUCCCGCAAAACGGUAGCAAUAUAUCACCACAUUCUAUCAAAUGGUUAGCUACUCUAUUAGGGCAACACACUUACAUUUAUGCAUCUCACCAUACAUUACUUUUUCUAAACACGUUGACAUACGGUUAUACAUACUAGUAUUGAUGAGAGGCACCAAUAUUUGCUUUUCUUUGCAAAAGUGUCAGACUGGCAAUGAAAAAAAAAAGCAAAAAACAAAUUUUACAACCGUGCCCGGUGCCCGGUUGGCCAAUCCGGCUGAAUCGGGUACAUAUUUCACCAUAAUGGCAUUUUCUCGGAUGCGGAAUCAAUCUACAACGCUGCCUUGACCUGGAAAAAGUAGAAUCGAAGGUUCCUGGUCACACAAAUUUAAACAAACAUUUUGUUCCCUGCUGCCGCUUGAGGAAGACGCCAAACAAUUCCAGCACUGGAGGCCGGAGUAUGCGGAAUCGAUCCAGAGGAAUUGGCAAUACAGCUCCGAGUAGGAAUCCAUAAAUAAGGUAACGGGUGAAGUGAAUAUCAGUACCACAAGUUGGAAAACUGAUCGGAUCAAAAUGCAUCAGCCUGCCCAUACAUCUGAAUUCAUCAGCAACGGUUUGUUCUUGCGGAAGUCGGAGGUGCUUUUAAAUAUCACUAGAUUUAUUUUUAAUGACUGCAAUAAGGUAAAAUAUCAAUCCAGUACAACACGCAUUAAUGGGGAGGGAGGGGUUUCACAUUUUACAGUUAUUGUACUUGCUUUAUGAAAUAUAUUUUUCCCUCGACGUA